GAAAAAGUAGCCAGCCCACCAUCCCUAGAUGAUUUUGCAGUCUUUGCACACCAGUGUGGCCAUAGGCUUGUUUUCUCCUGGACUGAGCCUGCAGAUCCUAUGAGCAAGCAUAUGUCCUGUGCUCCACUAGUCCUAGCUGGAUCGUGGACAUAUUACCAUCAUUACAAAUAUCAAUAGUUUGUGAUUACUUCAAACAAUCUGAAGUUGAAGGACCCCAGAUAUCCUUCAAAACAGGAAUCUGCAGGCAGAUGCUGAAACCAUGAAUACAGAGGGACAACUAGACGCUGACAUAGUUUUAUGAAUGCAAACAGCCAAGGAGAGCAGAUGUUGAGUGGUUGCCAGAGUGAAAUGAGGAAGCCCUGCUGCCAGCUUCCCACCAAAAAGCAGGCUCCGGCCCUGAACGCAGGAGAGUUGCUAAAGAAGUUGCUCACAGAGGCGGGAGAGAGCAGGCUACUGGUUUCCUUCAAAAUGGAAUAGGAAACAGAAAACGUGCAUCAUUUCUUCGCACUUGAAUCAGCAACAUGACACAGGACUUUGGC
rnacentral:lncRNA from 10 species